CAACAAAAAAUUAUAAAAUAGAUUCAUUCAAUUCAAACUGCAAAAGUUGAAACGAAACAGAGUUAUUAUGGAAGUGUUAAAAUAGAAAUUACAGAAUUUUUUUUGAGAUUAUCAUUGAAUAGAUUGAGCACUGCUCAAGGGUUUGGAAUUGAUCUGCUAUUCCUGUUUCCUCACUCUAAUUUCGGUCUCCCCAGGAGUUUGCAAGUGAAGUUAGUGUGUGUUCGGAUGCACCAUGGGGAUGUGAAAAAUCAUUUUCAUCUAGACAAAAUAAUUUUGCCACGAAGCAGAAAGGGCAAGGUUUGGCAGUUAUGAAAGGCGGUGAGAAGUGAAGAAGGAUGACAUAGUCAUUAAUGAUGUGGGUGUGUAAGCAGAUGAAUGAAGGUAAAGUUUUGAAUGCCAAUGGUUCUUUAAUGCAUAUAUAAUAACUCCAACUUCCCCAAUUGGAUCGCUCAGAAAACUAAAAUCUUUAAAGCUCUCAACACCCUCUUUCAGCCAUAUUAAAACGAAACACACCCAUAGAUGACCUAUGCUAUUAACCACACCCCCAUCAAGCUUUAAAGGCUUUCAACACCCCCUUUCCCGCAUUAAACCAACCAAGUCCGUAUGAGUUACCAAAAAUAUUGAACUCAAAUUUAUUGUUCCUCUUCUUUCUCCCAAAUAAUAAAUCUUCCAAACAACCACUGCCCAUUUGUCCUCCCUCCUCGACAUCACCUUCAUCAUGCCCAUAAUUAUUUCCUCAUUUCUUCUCAAGAACUACACAACUUUGCUUUAAUAUGAAAAUUCCCUAAUUGUAACAUAAAAAAUAUGUCAUUUUAUGCUAUUCAACUGAACCCGGUAACAAGUAUUUCAAUGUACUGUCUGUUUGAAUGCAAAGCAUGCCCUUUCAUGCAAAUGUUAACAUUUUCCUUUAACUUAUGUAAUAGAGAAGGGAUAUAAAGUUGAUUUGGUGAUUGAAUUGGAGAAGUUAAAAAAUAGAGUGACAAAUAGGUGUAGAGUUUGAUCUCCACCUAACAAGAUUAAUUAAUGUAACAUAGUUAUACAUGUCAAUUUUUAUUAUAUUAUCAAUAUUACUAAAAUUAUGACAAA